GGCAGUGUGGCUGAAUGGUUAUAGCAUGGACUCUGGCGCCAAAAGACGGGGCUUUGAAGCCUCACUCUGCCA
rnacentral:tRNA from 1 species